CCUACGGGUGGCAGCAGUGAGGAAUAUUGGUCACUGGGCGCGAGCCUGAACCAGCCAAGUAGCGUGAAGGAUGACUGCCCUACGGGUUGUAAACUUCUUUUAUAAAGGCAUAAAGUGAGGCACGUGUGCCGUUUUGUAUGUCCUUUAUGAAUAAGGAUCUGCUAACUCCGUGCCAGCAGCCUCGGUAAUCCGGAGGAUCCGAGCGUUAUCCGGAUUUAUUGGGUUUAAAGGGAGCGUAGAUGGGUUGUUAAGUCAGUUGUGAAAGUUUGCGGCUCCACCGUAAAAUUGCAAUUGAUAAUGGCAGCCUUGAGUACAGUUGAGGUAGGCGGAAUGCGUGGUGUAGCGGUGAAAUGCUGAGAUAUCACGAAGAACUCCGAUUGCGAAGGCAGCUUACUAAACUGCCACUGACAUUGAUGCUCGAAAGUGUGGGUAUCAAACAGGAUUAGAUACCCUUGUAGUC
rnacentral:rRNA from 1 species